rnacentral:rRNA from 1 species
GACGAACGCUGGCGGCGUGCCUAAUACAUGCAAGUAGAACGCUGAAGGAGGAGCUUGCUUCUCUGGAUGAGUUGCGAACGGGUGAGUAACGCGUAGGUAACCUGCCUGGUAGCGGGGGAUAACUAUUGGAAACGAUAGCUAAUACCGCAUAAGAGUAGAUGUUGCAUGACAUUUGCUUAAAAGGUGCAAUUGCAUCACUACCAGAUGGACCUGCGUUGUAUUAGCUAGUUGGUGGGGUAACGGCUCACCAAGGCGACGAUACAUAGCCGACCUGAGAGGGUGAUCGGCCACACUGGGACGGAGACACGGCCCAGACUCCUACGGGAAGCAGCAGUAGGGAAUCUUCGGCAAUGGACGGAAGUCUGACCGAGCAACGCCGCGUGAGGGAAGAAGGUUUUCGGAUCGUAAAGCUCUGUUGUAAGAGAAGAACGAGUGUGAGAGUGAAAAGUUCACACUGUGACGGUAUCUUACCAGAAAGGGACGGCUAACUACGUG